rnacentral:rRNA from 1 species
GUGUCAGCAGCCGCGGUAAUACGUAGGCAGCGAGCGUUGUUCGGAGUUACUGGGCGUAAAGAGUGCGUAGGCGGUGACCUAAGUCUGGUGUGAAAUCUCCCGGCUCAACUGGGAGGGUGCGCCGGAAACUGGGUUGCUUGAGUGUGGGAGAGGCUAGCGGAAUUCCUGGUGUAGCGGUGAAAUGCGUAGAGAUCAGGAGGAACACCUGCGGUGUAGACGGCUGGCUGGACCACGACUGACGCUGAGGCACGAAAGCGUGGGGAGCAAACAGGAUUAGAUACCCUGGUAGUCCACGCCCUAAACGAUGCAUACUUGGUGUGGGUGAUUCAUUUCAUCCGUGCCGGAGCUAACGCGUUAAGUAUGCCGCCUGGGGAGUACGGUCGCAAGGCUGAA